GAUGAACGCUGGCGGCGUGCCUAAUACAUGCAAGUCGAGCGAACAGACGAGGAGCUUGCUCCUCUGACGUUAGCGGCGGACGGGUGAGUAACACGUGGAUAACCUACCUAUAAGACUGGGAUAACUUCGGGAAACCGGAGCUAGUACCGGAUAAUAUAUUGAACCGCAUGGUUCAAUAGUGAAGGACGGUUUUGCUGUCACUUAUAGAUGGAUCCGCGCCGCAUUAGCUAGUUGGUAAGGUAACGGCUUACCAAGGCGACGAUGCGUAGCCGACCUGAGAGGGUGAUCGGCCACACUGGAACUGAGACACGGUCCAGACUCCUACGGGAGGCAGCAGUAGGGAAUCUUCCGCAAUGGGCGAAAGCCUGACGGAGCAACGCCGCGUGAGUGAUGAAGGUCUUCGGAUCGUAAAACUCUGUUAUUAGGGAAGAACAAAUGUGUAAGUAACUAUGCACGUCUUGACGGUACCUAAUCAGAAAGCCACGGCUAACUACGUG
rnacentral:rRNA from 1 species